UACGUAGGGGGCAAGCGUUAUCCGGAUUUACUGGGUGUAAAGGGAGCGUAGACGGACUGGCAAGUCUGAUGUGAAAGGCGGGGGCUCAACCCAUGGACUGCAUUGGAAACUGUUAGUCUUGAGUGCCGGAGAGGUAAGCGGAAUUCCUAGUGUAGCGGUGAAAUGCGUAGAUAUUAGGAGGAACACCAGUGGCGAAGGCGGCUUACUGGACGGUAACUGACGUUGAGGCUCGAAAGCGUGGGGAGCAAACAGG
rnacentral:rRNA from 1 species